CCUACGGGGGGCAGCAGUGAGGAAUAUUGGUCAAUGGGCGGAAGCCUGAACCAGCCAAGUCGCGUGAGGGAAUAAGGCCCUACGGGUCGUAAACCUCUUUUGCCGGGGAGCAAGGGCGGGGACGUGUCCCGGCCCGGAGAGUACCCGGAGAAAAAGCAUCGGCUAACUCCGUGCCAGCAGCCGCGGUAAUACGGAGGAUGCGAGCGUUAUCCGGAUUUAUUGGGUUUAAAGUGGUCGUAGGCGGGCUUUUACGUCAGCGGUAAAAAUUCGGGGCUCAACCCCGUCCGGCCGUUGAAACUGGGGGCCUUGAGUGGGCGAGAAGAAGGCGGAAUGCGUGGUGUAGCGGUGUAAUGCUUAGAUAUCACGAAGAACUCCGAUUGCGAAGGCAGCUCACUGGACUGCAACUGACACUGAGGCUCGAAAGUGUGGGUAUCAAACAGGAUGAGAUACCCGAGUAGUC
rnacentral:rRNA from 1 species